rnacentral:snoRNA from 1 species
CUGCGAUGAUGAUUUGCUUUCGGUCCGUGUUUCUGAUGUAAAUGUGACGAUUUGAAAGCUCUGAGCAG